CUUCAGAUGCCCUGAAAUGCAAUUUCAGUUCAUCAGUAAGGAGGAAUUAAAGAUCUGCAAUACAAGAGUCUAAGCUAAACUGAUCCUUGAAAAGGCCAUCUGGAGCCAGUCCUGGUCCAGCAGGUGACAGCAUGUUGUGAGCAGCAGAAGCUCGAGAGCAGCUGUGCGGGGAGGCUGUGAUCACCAUAUCCAGCACCGUGUGCACGCAGAGGUCCAGAGACCCUUCCUCAGGGGCAAGGAGAACCACUCGGGGAGCAUCUGGCUUCAGCACUUGAUGCUGAGCUCCAGUGCUCUGUGCAAAGCCGGUACGGUGGAGGAGAAAUGAAGACCAGCAAUUGUAAGUGACAUAU
rnacentral:lncRNA from 1 species